UCCGUAGGUGGCAAGCGUUGUCCGGAAUUAUUGGGCGUAAAGCGCUCGCAGGCGGUCCUUUAAGUCGGGUGUGAAAGCCCCGGGCUCAACCUGGGAAUUGCAUUCGAGACUGAAUAGCUAGGGUACGGUAGAGGGAAGUGGAAUUUCCGGUGUAGCGGUGAAAUGCGUAGAUAUCGGAAGGAACAUCAGUGGCGAAGGCGACUACCUGGCCUGUUCUUGACGCUGAGGCGCGGAAGCUAGGGGAGCAAACGGG
rnacentral:rRNA from 1 species